AGAGUUUGAUCCUGGCUCAGAUUGAACGCUAGCGGGAUGCUUUACACAUGCAAGUCGAACGGCAGCGCGGACUUCGGUCUGGCGGCGAGUGGCGAACGGGUGAGUAAUGUAUCGGAACGUGCCCAGUAGCGGGGGAUAACUACUCGAAAGAGUAGCUAAUACCGCAUACGCCCUACGGGGGAAAGGGGGGGAUCUUAUGACCUCUCACUAUUGGAGCGGCCGAUAUCGGAUUAGCUAGUUGGUGGGGUAAAGGCCUACCAAGGCAUCGAUCCGUAGCUGGUUUGAGAGGACGACCAGCCACACUGGGACUGAGACACGGCCCAGACUCCUACGGGAGGCAGCAGUGGGGAAUUUUGGACAAUGGGGGAAACCCUGAUCCAGCCAUCCCGCGUGUGCGAUGAAGGCCUUCGGGUUGUAAAGCACUUUUGGCAGGAAAGAAAUUGCAUGGGCUAAUACCCUGUGUAGAUGACGGUACCUGCAGAAUAAGCACCGGCUAACUACGUGCCAGCAGCCGCGGUAAUACGUAGGGUGCAAGCGUUGUCCGGAAUUAUUGGGCGUAAAGAGCUCGUAGGCGGUUUGUCGCGUCUGCUGUGAAAAUCCGAGGCUCAACCUCGGAC
rnacentral:rRNA from 1 species